GGGGUAUCUAUGAGUAUAUGAUUGAAAAAAGGAUAUACCCGAAUGAAAUGACAACUAGAAUUAUGAUUAGUGCUUUGUGCAAACAAGGGAGGUUACAGAGAUUUUUGGAUGUUGUGGAGAAAAGUCAUGGAAAAAGAUGUCGACCUGGGGUUGUUGUGAAUACGUGUUUGAUAUAUGGGAUGAUUGAGGAAGGUAGAAUUGAAGACGGGUUAAGGUUGAU
rnacentral:misc_RNA from 1 species